rnacentral:rRNA from 1 species
UACGGAGGGUGCAAGCGUUGUUCGGAUUCAUUGGGCGUAAAGGGCGCGUAGGCGGGCUGGCAAGUCAGGGGUGAAAUCCUCCGGCUCAACCGGAGAACAGCCUUUGAUACUGCCAGUCUAGAGGAAGGUAGGGGCAUGUGGAACUUCCGGUGGAGCGGUGAAAUGCGCAGAUAUCGGGAAGAACACCCGUGGCGAAGGCGGCUCUCUGGAACGGUACUGACGCUGAGACGCGAAAGCGUGGGGAGCGAACAGG